rnacentral:rRNA from 1 species
UGGCGAACGGGUGAGUAAUACGUGAGUAACCUGCCCUUGACUCUGGGAUAAGCCUGGGAAACUGGGUCUAAUACUGGAUACGACAUGUCACCGCAUGGUGGUGUGUGGAAAGGGUUUUACUGGUUUUGGAUGGGCUCACGGCCUAUCAGCUUGUUGGUGGGGUAAUGGCUCACCAAGGCGACGACGGGUAGCCGGCCUGAGAGGGUGACCGGCCACACUGGGACUGAGACACGGCCCAGACUCCUACGGGAGGCAGCAGUGGGGAAUAUUGCACAAUGGGCGAAAGCCUGAUGCAGCGACGCCGCGUGAGGGAUGACGGCCUUCGGGUUGUAAACCUCUUUCAGCACGGAAGAAGCGAAAGUGACGGUACGUGCAGAAGAAGCGCCGGCUAACUACGUGCCAGCAGCCGCGGUAAUACGUAGGGCGCAAGCGUUGUCCGGAAUUAUUGGGCGUAAAGAGCUCGUAGGCGGUUUGUCGCGUC